UACAGAGACAGGAGCGAGGAAGGCCAUGUCUACAACGCUGUACAUCGAAGCACAUCCAUCCCACUGCUGUUUCCUACAUUAUUAACGAGUAGCUCUUUAAGGCAGAAGAGAGACAUUCUGUGGAUCUUGGUGCUAUUGGCUCAUUGCACUCACAUUGUUUCAGUGGCAGAGGACGAGGUACUUUUCUUCCUGAUGCGAGGUCUAAGGGUCCUAGGCGGUGCCUGAGCUGCCAGUGCCUUCCGAUGCACUUCUGGAUGUUUUUGGCUGGCUCUGUUUGCUACUUGUUCGUACAGUGACGGAAGGAGGAACAGUGCUGCUGCUGUCACCACGAAUUGUUGAGAG
rnacentral:lncRNA from 1 species